rnacentral:rRNA from 1 species
UGGGGAAUAUUGCACAAUGGGCGCAAGCCUGAUGCAGCCAUGCCGCGUGUAUGAAGAAGGCCUUCGGGUUGUAAAGUACUUUCAGUCGGGAGGAAGGUGUCAAGGUUAAUAACCUUGGCAAUUGACGUUACCGACAGAAGAAGCACCGGCUAACUCCGUGCCAGCAGCAGCGGUAAUACGGAGGGUGCAAGCGUUAAUCGGAAUUACUGGGCGUAAAGCGCACGCAGGCGGUUGAUUGAGUCAGAUGUGAAAUUCCCGGGCUUAACCCGAGAAUUGCAUCUGAUACUGGUCAGCUAGAGUCUUGUAGAGGGGGGUAGAAUUCCAUGUGUAGCGGUGAAAUGCGUAGAGAUGUGGAGGAAUACCGGUGGCGAAGGCGGCCCCCUGGACAAAGACUGACGCUCAGGUGCGAAAGCGUGGGGAGCAAACAGG